UCGCUUCAGCAGCAGCCAUAAAAAGUUGGUACAACACAGAGAUUAGCAAGGCCCCUGUGCAAGGAUGACAUAUAGAUUCAUAAAGUGAUCCACACUUUU
rnacentral:snRNA from 1 species